ensembl:ncRNA lncRNA:CR44794 long non-coding RNA:CR44794
GGGGCCUAAAAAAAUUGCCUUAGCUUAAAGAUCGUAGAUCCUUACGCUGGGCGAGAUAUUGGUUUUAGUUUUCAACUAGCAAUAAUCGCAGCUCAGUUGGAACUUCAUUGCUUGCGAUGUUGCCACUGCACAAGGUUGGUGAUGCCUCCAAAUGCAAAUGCUAAGCUUCUCUAUGCGGAGUCUGCUAAAACCUUUUGAGAAUUAUAUGUAGUUUUAGGCAUCCGCCAAAAGACAGGACAACCCGUUUGACCAGAGUGCCACCUCCCGAAUCCAGUUGCCAAUCUGUCAACCCCUAAAUUCAGUUGCCAAUUUUCAAGGAUUUGCUCGAGGUCACAGUGAACUGGAACUGGAACUUCCCAGCUAUUGCAUUUUUAUGACCUUCGAAGGCGCUUUGCUCUGUUCGAUGACGAGCAUUGCCCGCAUCGAGUCCGCAACUUGGAGUCCCCAGGGGACCAACAUAAAAACGAAUGGAAUGAAAGUGGUAGUUGCAGUGAAAGGGUCAAGUGUUUGCCUGCGCCCGUCUCAGAUACUUGGAUUAUGCGAGUUAAGCCGCUUGGCCGCAAGCCGACCAAAUUGUAAGCGGCUUUAAGGCAGACAUCAACCGAUUGCGCCUUAAAGUUCAGAGCCACUCAGCAACAUCAGCAUGCCAACGGAGACGGCCGUGUCCUUCGAGUUUCGCCAACCAGAGACCAGGACGAAAAUGAAAGUCGACGAUUAACAAAGGACUUCGCUGGUCCCGCGAAAUGGACAAGCAUUGCGCUUUGUAAUUUAAAUGGCUCUUUUAUGGUGGCGGCCAUAAAAUGUACAAAUAAGGGUUAAUUAUGUCCCGGCAGUUGACGCCAAGCAUGCCAACAUAAGAUGCCCAAAUUUGUGGGGUGCAAUUGGGUCACGGGAAUGUAAAUAAAUGCGAGCUUAAACGAAUUUUAUGCUUUUCUACGCUCACUG